rnacentral:rRNA from 1 species
UACGGAGGGGGCUAGCGUUGUUCGGAAUUACUGGGCGUAAAGCGCGCGUAGGCGGACCUGCAAGUCGGGGGUGAAAUCCCGGGGCUCAACCCCGGAACUGCAUUCGAAACUGCCUUGCUCGAGUACUGGAGAGGAGACUGGAAUUUACGGUGUAGCAGUGAAAUGCGUAGAUAUCGUAAGGAAGACCAGUGGCGAAGGCGAGUCUCUGGACAGUUACUGACACUGAGGCACGAAGGCCAGGGGAGCAAACGGG